rnacentral:rRNA from 1 species
AUAGCGUAUAUUAAAGUUGUUGCAGUUAAAAAGCUCGUAGUUGAACUUCAGACCUGGUUGGGCGGUCCGCUUAACGGCGUGUACUGUCUGACUGGGCCUUACCUCUUGGUGAGCCGGCGUGCCCUUUAUUGGUGUGCGUUGGGGAACCAGGACUUUUACCUUGAGAAAAUUAGAGUGUUCAAAGCAGGCCUAUGCCCGAAUACAUUAGCAUGGAAUAAUAAAAUAGGACGUGUGGUUCUAUUUUGUUGGUUUCUAGAGUCGCCGUAAUGAUUAAUAGGGAUAGUUGGGGGCAUUGGUAUUGAGUCGCUAGAGGUGAAAUUCUUGGAUUGACUCAAGACCAACUAUUG